rnacentral:tRNA from 1 species
GGGUCCAUAGCUCAGUUGGUAGAGCGCUCGGGUCACAUCCGAAAGGCCUCUGGUUCGAUCCCAGAUGGACCCACCA